CGUCUGUAUAACCUUAUAUUUUUAAAACAUAAAUACAGUUAAAAAACAAUUAUUUUUAAAGUAAUGGAGUAUAUAAAUAUUAAACAAAUGUGUAGAAUAUGUUUAAACAUAAAGGAAGAACAUGAAAUGUUUUCAGUUUACAACAUUGCUGAAAAAAUUAUGAGUUUUACAACAAUAGAAGUGGAUAACUAAAAGUGAUGGCCUUCCAGGUUUCAUAUGUUUAAAAUGUUAUGAGGUAGCUAAUAUUGCUUAUACCUUUAAGCAGCAGUGUGAAAAGUCCGAGCAUUUGUUAAAAUCUGAUGAAACUAUCUUAGAAAAGGUUAAUGCAUUAAAACAACAAGAGGGGCGACUAAACGUCUUCAAAGUGAAGUUUCAAAAGCAGGAUAUUUUUAGUAUUAUACUACGUGAAAAUUUCAUAAAGCCCAUAAAAGUUUCAGCAUUAAAGAAGAAUACCUGUAAAGAUAUUCACUUAAAAAAAAAUAUCACUGUAAAUGAUUCUUUUGAGACAAGUCAUGAUAGUGAUCAGUAUAAUGGGGAAGAUAAUGAUGAAUUCAAGGACUUGACAUGUCGUUUUUGCAAUUUUAAAGCAAAUACUUGGAAAGUACGAUAUAAACAUGAAAUAACCCAUGGGAAAGGAAUUGACUGUUACCUAUGUGGAAAAGAAUUUACGUCGCUCAGAACAAUGACAAAUCAUUUACUUCAUCAUAAACGUAAAGGUGCCUUUCCCUGUUUAACUUGCGGCAAAAAGUUUACCCUCCAAGAAAAUUUAUCAAAACAUAUGAAAAGACAUUUAGGCAUUCGUCCGUACUCCUGCGCUAUUUGUAACAAGUCGUUUACAGAAAGGAGUGAACUGAGAAUACAUUUAGCAAGCCACAGCCAGGAAAAGCGAUUUCUAUGUAAUAUGUGCGGUAAUAAAUAUUCACGAAAGAGACUUUUAACAAUGCAUAUCGAGAAACACCAUCCCGAACCAGGAAAAGCUCUACUCCUUUGUACAUUAUGUGGGAAAGGCUAUAAAGAUUUACGAUUGCACAUGUUGUUUCAUAAAAACGAAAGGAAAUACGUGUGUAAAGUAUGUUCAAAA
rnacentral:misc_RNA from 1 species